rnacentral:rRNA from 1 species
AUUGAACGCUGGCGGCAUGCUUUACACAUGCAAGUCGAACGGUAACAGGCCGCAAGGUGCUGACGAGUGGCGAACGGGUGAGUAAUGCAUCGGAACGUGCCCAGUCGUGGGGGAUAACGCAGCGAAAGCUGCGCUAAUACCGCAUACGAUCUCUGGAUGAAAGCGGGGGACCGAAAGGCCUCGCGCGAUUGGAGCGGCCGAUGUCAGAUUAGGUAGUUGGUGGGGUAAAGGCUCACCAAGCCAACGAUCUGUAGCUGGUCUGAGAGGACGACCAGCCACACUGGGACUGAGACACGGCCCAGACUCCUACGGGAGGGAGCAGUGGGGAAUUUUGGACAAUGGGCGCAAGCCUGAUCCAGAAAUGCCGCGUGCAGGAAGAAGGCCUUCGGGUUGUAAACUGCUUUUGUACGGAACGAAACGGCCCUGGUUAAUACCUGGGGCUAAUGACGGUACCGUAAGAAUAAGCACUGGCUAACUACGUGCCAGCCGCCGCGGUAAGAC